GGCAAGAACUAGAGCAGAGACCUUGGAGGAAUGCUGCUUACUAACUUGUUCUGCCUGCUUUUCUGUAGUAGCCAGAACCACCAGCUCAGGGUUGGCACUGACCACAGUGAGUUGUAGAAAGGUUGACCCUCCUGCAUCAAUCAUCUAUCAAGAAGAUGCCCUACAGACUUGCCUACAGAGCAAUCAUAUAGAGUCAUUUUCUCAAUUAAGAUUCCUUCCUUACAGAUGAUCCUGGCUUAUCAGGUUGACACAAAAACUAGAUAGCACAACAGGUCCUAGAAGAUAAUUUACUAUAACUCAGCGAAUGGGACAUAGUAUUAAUAUGACUCCAGAGGACUUUUCACUAUACCUGUAGACUAGUUACUCUGCUACACCUCGACCUCCUUAUUGCGCUAAGUGGCAAUUAACCGAGAGACCAACGAAUGGUGAAAAGGCAGAAAAUAAGUGACUGAGGAGUGUGCAGCCCUAAAUGAUACUUCUAUAUGAAAAUCAUCCCUCCCAGAAAUCAGGGAUCACUGCAGAAGAGAGGAGUAAAGAGUGCAAGAGUCAGAGACAGAGGAUGACUAUAAAGAAACUAUUUUCCAGACACAUUAAAGCAGUUGCACGUAUGACCCAGUACUGGUUAAAACAAUGAGCACAUGACCUGCACAAGCUUAAGCCAGGCAAAAAUCCCAUUGAGAAGAGGACGAGUGGGCAUGAAGUCUCACCGCUAACUGGGAAGCUCAUCUGGUUCCUGAAUCUUCACUGGCAAAAUCUGAACGCUGGGCAUUUUGGCUUUAAACAUCUGGACUUCCAACUUCUGCCAAGGCCCCAGGGACAGUGAGACCACUUCCUUUGAGGAGAACCUGAGAAGCCAUCGAAUUUGGUCUGGUGCAUAAAGCCAGAAGCAGCCACAGGGAUGGAAGUGUUUCUCAAGAUCGAACACAGGAAGACCAGCAUCUUUACUGAGGCCAAGGAGUCGACCACGGUGUUAGAGCUGAAGCACAUUGUCGAGGGCAUCAUGAAGAGGCCUCCUGAGGAUCAGCUGCUGUUCAAGGACAACCAGCUCCUUGAAGAGAGAAAAACACUGUGGCUUCACCAGCGAGGUAACAAAGUCACAGGACCCAGCCAGCAUGACCUUGGCCUUCAGGGAAGACGCCUUUCAACUCCUGCAUGUCCGCCCUUUUUCUUGUCCACUAAUUGGAGGUGUGCUGAAAAAUGGUCUAGACUUGAGAGAGAUUAGGAACGAGUUAUGCAGUGAGGGCCCCAGGCCCACUCCUAGGAAUUCACUUCCUGAUAAAGAUGUGACUGUCUUUCUACAUUAAAAAAUAAAUAAACUUAAUACACUGUCAAAAAAAA